rnacentral:lncRNA from 1 species
GAAAUUUGAGUAUCUUUGAUAGAUACCCGAGAAAUUUGAGUAUCUUUAAUAGAUACCCGAGAAAUUUGAGUAUCUUUGAUAGAUACCCGAGAAAAUAAGUUCAUGAUCUUAUAUGACCCCACAGCAAAAUUUUAAACCUUUUACUCUUGUGAGUGGUGAAUUGGGUAGUAUGUGAUAUGUGUGAAUGGUGUAAGCUAUUUGGUAUACGGUGUAAGGUGUAAGGUGAAUUUCAGGGACGAAAUUCUUAGAAGGAGGGGUGAAUGUGA